rnacentral:rRNA from 1 species
UACGUAGGGAGCGAGCGUUGUCCGGAAUUACUGGGUGUAAAGGGAGCGUAGGGGGGACUGCAAGUUGGGUGUCAAAUCUACCGGCUCAACCGGUAGCCGCACUCAAAACUGCAGUUCUUGAGUGAAGUAGAGGCAGGCGGAAUUCCUAGUGUAGCGGUGAAAUGCGUAGAUAUUAGGAGGAACACCAGUGGCGAAGGCGGCCUGCUGGGCUUUUACUGACGCUGAGGCUCGAAAGUGUGGGGAGCGAACAGG